AACGCACAUUGCGCCCCUUGGUAUUCCGGGGGGCAUGCCUGUUCGAGCGUCAUUAUAACCCCUCAAGCUCAGCUUGGUGUUGGGGCCUGCCAACUGGCAGCCCUUAAAAUCAGUGGCGGCGCCAUCUGGCUCUAAGCGUAGUAAUUUCUCUCGCUAUAGGGUCCCGAUGGAUGCUGGCCAGCAACCCCCAAUUUUCUACGGUUGACCUCGGAUCAGGUAGGGAUACCCGCUGAACUUAA
rnacentral:misc_RNA from 1 species